CUCAAUGAUUUUUUAAAUUGCUGUGGUAUUUUGACUAUACAAAGGUAUUGUAAUAAGACUUUAAUUGAGUGCUAAGAGAAUGGAAUUUCAGGAAAAAUCUUUUUUUAAAUUAAAAAUAGAAGUUAUUUUUAUUUGUGAAGAAACAAUAAUGUAAAUUUAGGACAAGAAGACCCUAUGAAUUUUUAUAUCUUUUAUGAAUUUAGGUGAAUAAAAGAUAUUUAAUUGGGGCGAUUAUAAAAUAUUUGUAACUUUUAUAAAGUAAAGUUGAUCCAUUAUUAAUGAUAAUAUGAAUAAAUACUCUAGGGAUAACAGCGU
rnacentral:rRNA from 1 species